AAUUUUGGACAAUGGGGGAAACCCUGAUCCAGCCAUCCCGCGCGUAUGAUGAAGGCCUUCGGGUUGUAAAUUACUUUUGGCAGAGAAGAAAAUGUAUCCCCUAAUACGGGAUACUGCUGACGGCAUCUGCAGAACAAGCACCGGCUAACUAUGUGCCAGCAGCCGCGGUAAUCCUUAGGGUGCAAGCUUUAAUCGGAAUUACUGCGUGUAAAGCGUGUGUAGGGGGUUCGGAAAGAAAGAUGUGAAAUCCCAGGGCUCAACCUUGGAACUGCAUUUUUAACUGCCGAGCUAGAGUAUGUCAGAGGGGGGUAGAAUUCCACGUGUAGCAGUGAAAUGCGUAGAUAUGUGGAGGAAUACCGAUGGCGAAGGCAGCCCCCUGGGAUAAUACUGACGCUCAGACACGAAAGCGUGGGGAGCAAACAGG
rnacentral:rRNA from 1 species